CGCCCUUAGAGUUUGAUCAUGGCUCAGAUUGAACGCUGGCGGCAGGCUUAACACAUGCAAGUCGAACGGUAUAGGUGCUUGCACCUGACGAGUGGCGGACGGGUGAGUAAUGUAUGGGGAUCUGCCGAAUGGAUUGGGACAACCACUGGAAACGGUGGCUAAUACCGAAUAAUGUUGAGAGACCAAAGUGUUUCGACAUGCCAUUUGAUGAACCCAUAUGGGAUUAGCUAGUAGGCGGGGUAAUGGCCCACCUAGGCGACGAUCUCUAGCUGGUCUGAGAGGAUGACCAGCCACACUGGGACUGAGACACGGCCCAGACUCCUACG
rnacentral:rRNA from 1 species